AUUGAACGCUGGCGGCAGGCCUAACACAUGCAAGUCGAGCGAGCGGCGGACGGGUGAGUAAUGUCUGGGAAACUGCCGGAUGGAGGGGGAUAACUACUGGAAACGGUAGCUAAUACCGCAUUCAAUCAGAUGUGCCCAGAUGGGAGUAGCUAGUAGGUGGGGUAACGGCUCACCUAGGCGACGAUCCCUAGCUGGUCUGCGAGGAUGACCAGCCACACUGGAACUGCGAGACGGUCCAGACUCCUACGGGAGGCAGCAGUGGGGAAGAUUGCGCAAUGGGCGCAAGCCUGAUGCAGCCAUGCCGCGUGUGUGAAGAAGGCCUUCGGGUUGUAAAGCACUUUCAGCGGGGAGGCGGUACCCGCAGAAGAAGCACCGGCUAACUCCGUGCCAGCCGCCGCGGUAAUAC
rnacentral:rRNA from 1 species